AGUGAACGCUGGCGGUAGGCUUAACACAUGCAAGUCGAACGGCAGCACAGUAAGAGCUUGCUCUUACGGGUGGCGAGUGGCGGACGGGUGAGGAAUACAUAGGAAUCUACUCUUUCGUGGGGGAUAACGUAGGGAAACUUACGCUAAUACCGCAUACGACCUACGGGUGAAAGCAGGGGAUCUUCGGACCUUGUGCGAUUGAAUGAGCCGAUGUCGGAUUAGCUAGUUGGGGGGGUAAAGGCCAACCAGGUGGACGACCGGUAGCUGACCGGAGUGGAUGGUCGGCGGCCUGGGAGCUGGGACACGGUCCAGGCUCCUACGAGAGGCAGCAGAGGGCUAUGUUAGGCAAUGGGCGCAAGCCUGGUCCAGCCGUACGACGUGGGUGGAGGAGGCCUUCGGGUUGGAAAGCCCGUUUGUUGGGAAAGAAAAGCAGCAGGUUAAGACCCCGCUGUUCUGACGGUACCCAAAGAAGAAGCACCGGCUAACUUCGUG
rnacentral:rRNA from 1 species